UCCUAAAUUACAAUAAGGGUUGUAUAGAUAGAUUGGAAACGUUAUCGUAUAUGAGGGUAGUAGGUUGUACAUACAACAGUGAGAACCGAAGGUCAGGAGAGAUGCAACCGCCAAAUGUAAAAUAAGAUCGAAGAUAUGAAAAAAGAAGAGACGCGAAAGGAGGAUAAAAUCUGGAGUAACGCGGAGUUGACGGAAAUAAAGAAAUGAACACAAAGACGAACGGAGUCUUUUUUAUCCCCUUGUUCUUCUAAAGAAUGAACGAGUGACGGAAAUAAAGAGAAGAGCGUGCAGCAACGCCGCGGACUGAUUGUAGGAAAUAAGCAACAGCAGUAGUCGAGUUCUUUAAUAUGAAAGACGAGAGGAGUGGGAAAAUCCAGUUAAAUUCACCUGACAUUGAAACAAGAGUCUCGGAAGCGACUCCGGAGUAUCAAUGACAGUAAUUAUGGAGAUAAGAGUUCGGAGAGUAGAAAAAAAGCGUCUAGAUACCCGAACACGAGUGUCAGGUUCAGGUUUCAGGUUCUAAAAAAUUUUCGACUCAAAAAUAACCAGUGCUCAAAAUACGAGACAUAAACCACGUCUGUAAACAUUAAUCCCAAACUUCCUAUACGUUGAGUUGCGAAACCAGAUAAAAUUUUCAACUGAAUCAUCAUUGAUUUUAGAUUUUGCCACAAAUAUAACGUGCCUCCGCAUCUUCGGUGGAAGGGCAAUACGGUUUGAAUUUCUGAGAACGUAGUCGGCGACGAUGACUACGAUACAAUCAGAAACCCUCGUAUGUGUCAUAAACGGAUGCAAUAUAUUAUCGCCUGUAAUAAUUAUCAAAACAGGAGAGAAGAAAAAAAUAUAUAUAUUCUCGACUCGUCCGAGAAUUAGUGAUGAUACAAUAAAAGACGAGAUCAUCAUCUUGGAAUUAGUAAAUAACUCGAAGACUUCGAUUCAGAGAGGGUUGAGUUAAAUAAAGUAGACUCAAGUUGAGUCGAGCCUCGUAGAAUUGAGUUGAAUGCACCAUAAAGAAAAGAAGAAGAAGUAGAAGAAGAAGAAGGAAGGAGGACUCGGCAUGUGGCGACGCAUACAUGGGCGCGGGCGUAUCUUUACGAAUGUACCAUACGUGCUGUAUGUACUUCUUCGGUUUUCAUUUCCAUGCAACUCUUGAUUCCCUCUAUCUAUGUAUCUCUUUCUAUUUAUUCCUCUCCGUUUUGCUUAUCUACAAUGAUAAUCGUGAUCGUAAUCGCAAUCGUGAUAACGAUUCCGUCUUUCCUCCAGACAAUGAGGUUCGAUACGCAGCAAAGAUGAUGGAAUAUUUCUGCAUGUAAUUAAAAACCUGGAGCAAAAGUAGCUGCGGCGCGUUACAAAUGCGUUUUCUAAAAUCGGAAGGUAAUGAAAUCACGGAUUAUUGUCUCGGGGUUGAAUAAAAAUCUUGAUGUUACUCACUUUGUACACCUGACCGUAUGUUCCAUUGCCGACGACCUCGAUUAAUUCGAAUAUGCCAGCAGGAUCCUGAAAAAUGAGAACAAUACAAAUUAUUUGUUGUUAUCGUUGAAAGUGCGGGUGGUGGAUAGUUGGUAUGAUAAUCGCGUGCAUUGAAACGAGAAACAAACUCUGGUGAUGGUGUGAUGGUGAUUAUUUGAUGGUGUUGGUAUGGUGAUCCACCCAAUGGAGAAGAAUAAGCAAGAAGAAAUUGGGAUUGGAACGACGUGGGUGAAAUUGACGGAAGAUUACUGGAACAGAUUUUUUUCUUCUUCUUGCUAAACGACGUUACGUGCAGUUAUUAUUUACCUUUAGAGCGUUGAGAUCGAUGUCGUCCAACGAACAAUUCACGCUUGGUGCUAAAUUAUGCGCCAUCUUGAUAUUCUCUUCACUCACGAAUGGAAAAAAAAUAUACAGACUUUACCACACACACUCACGAUCGCGUUUACAAAGAGAGAAGACUAAAAAAUACAUAUAUGCAUUUAUUAAUAUGCAUGUGCGAUUGAAAUAAGAUUUAACAAAACAUCAACAAAAAAAAAACACGACACAGAAAUGAAAAUAUUAAUCAAC